rnacentral:pre_miRNA from 1 species
UUGGUUUAUCUUAAGUCAAACUUAUCCAACUUUGACCAAAAUUAUAGAAAAAUAUAACAAUAUCUAUACUACCAAAUAUAUGCACUGUCAAAAUAUAUUCCAUGGUGGAUCCAAUGAAACAAAUUUGGUAUUGUAGAUGAUGUUAUAUUUUUCUACAAACUUGGUCAAAGUUGAACAAGUUUGACUUAAGACAAACCAAU